UGGUGACCGUGCGAGGGUGUAGGACUUUAGGAGGCAGGCAAGAUUGCUGCACAAUGGGGCAUCGCCUCCCGGGGAUCAGUGCAGUUCCACCAGACUCCGUGUUGGAUGUGAAGCCCCAAAUGCCAUCUGUGGACCCAGAGUUGCGCAGCACACCUCGAACAGCACAGGAGCUGACGAUCAGGGCUCCUCCACCGAGUGCAUGGAUGGCGUGAGCAGAGCUGGAACCUUGAGAAGAGGUCAAUGGCUCUCAUCAAGGCUGCACAUGUCUAUGAAUCCUCUCUUCCAGAGUCCUAAUCCCCACAGACUACUCAAGCCUGGGCUCCCCCUCGCCCUGCACCCGGGGUACCCAGUCUCUUCUAGAGUGGUCGGAGAACUGUCUUGACAGCAUCCUUGUCUCAUGCCUUUUCUCCUAAACUCCUUCCAUGUCCAGUUAUUUCUCAUCCUGGUGGCCCCUUCGGAAAGUACUCACCUCCAUUCCUGUUCCUACUUACCUUAGUAUCAAGCAGCCCCUCCUUGUCUGACCCUCACCCUCUGGCUUUUCUACAGGAGGCAGGUGUAUAUCCUGUUUAGACCCAGGAGAUCCUGUGCCUGUCAUGCCCUCCACUGUGCUGUCGUCUGGGAUGGCCUAUGUGUGUGUCUUGUACCUGACUCCUAACUAUGAGUCCUUAGUGCCUUAUCUCAGUCAUUAUCAGAAUGCCUUAUCAAGCAGACAUUUCAUUAACUAUUUUAUAGAAGAGGCCUUAGAAACUUGGAUAACUUUCUACAGUUUCACAAUUGAUAUAUUGAGAACUCAUACAUGAGCCAGGAUCAGAAUCUAAGACUUUUUAA